CAACAAUGUUAGUUUUUUCAAGCAUUUUUUUGGGCUCUAACCUGGCCCCUACAUGUCUGUUGCAAAUAUGUUUGUUGUCAACAAGCUGCUUUUCCUCGCUCACCGGAGUUUUCUCAUAAGCAAGGUCACAGGGAGGAUUGUUAUACUCAUUAAGCUUUGUAUGGAUAAUGGACUCUAAUUCAGGGAAAUCUGACAAAGCAAGCUCAAGGCCAUCUUCUUCCACCUGUUCCAUGCAUUUUGAACCACUGGGAUCCAGGCACUCAGAGGAGGAAGCAAUGCCUAUGUCUGCGCUGGGAUCUGUGACUCCCUUUGGUUUGCUGUUCGGUGUUGUUCUUUUGUCCAGACAGACAUCAUGUCCCAGUUGGUUUCGUGGUACUGCAUUCCUCCGUGUUCUGAGAAAUACAAGACCAAAACAUGAGUUGUCUCCAGGAAACAAGUUUCGACAUGCAGCGUAAAUAUUACUACAACAAUAGAAAAGCUUGAACAGAGUCUCCGUUGCAUCAAGAGGACUGAAUGAUGGUAGUUCAGUACAAACCCAUACACAAGAAGCAGUACCAGGAAAGCCACUGAAGGAGUGCCUUGUGCUCCCUUGCUUCCUGUCAAGGAUGAGCUUGGGGUCGCGGCGGGAGUAGAACAUGCGGAUGAGGCCCCAGGUGCACCCAACAUUGUUCUCCUGGAUCUGUGUAGCGCGUCUCUGGCUCGUCUUCCCCAUCCUCUCGGUGGUUUUCUUCUAACUGCGCUCUGAAGCUCAAUUACCCGGCAGCAGUGUGAGUUGUUCGAUCAGUUCAUGGUGCCAAUCCUCUUGCAGCAAGCAAGCGUGGUGGCAGAAAAUUUCUGCACUCUGCUGCGGUUAGAUGAACAAACAAUUAGAGUUGGCUGCAAAUGACCAUGUUCUGAUUGGAACGGAGCUGGGCAUGCGAAACCGCCACCAGAGACAAUUUGUACUACCAUGUUUGUAAAACAAGACAAGAGUAGAACAAGAAUUACUUACCGACAAUUGCGACACCGCAGCAGGGAAGAAGAUGAAGAACCGUGGCUAGCUCCGAGCCGAGGAGGAGGAGGAGAUCACCACACAAGACUAGCCAGAGGAGUGCUAGGGAAGCAACCAUGAGGAGGGGGCCAUGUGAAGGGAUGCUACGGUCAGCUGCAGCCAGGCUCGCCGACGGCGGCGGCGGAAGGAAGGAAGGAAUCAGAAGGAGAAGCCUUUCUUGCUGGCUCGCACAGGCCAGUGCCAGUCCGGUCAGUCAGUGGCACGCCAUCUUUUUCAUCUUCUUCCCUCGUGCCUGCCGGCCUCUCUUUGCGCUUUGUGGAGCUGGCGUGGAGGGGCAAGCAGCACAGCUAUGGCGACGGACAGGUGUAGCGGCAGCACCAGCAGCGGCACAUGCCAUGGACACGCAUCAAGGUGGCCACGGCCCCCCACGCACCCACGCACGCAUGCUUUUUUCCCCACCCCUCUGCAGGAAAAAGUGGCAGGAUCAGAGCGGUUGAUAAUUGUCCUUGAGGCCGCCCUGUAGCAAUCAUCCAACCUUGUGGUAAAAGCAUCAUAUCAAUUUAUUUUACUACGUAUAUAAUUGCUGAAUGCAUGGUUGUGUAAAAAAAUUGGAAAUUUGGAAUAUGUGAAUGGCUGUGCUAAAUGCUUUGUCGGCAGAGCUCGUGUUUCUUAUUCGUCGGCAGAGCUCACGUUUUUUACUCGUCGGAUUGUUUGGGUUGGCUCCACGCCGUUCAUCCUGCUUUGUACUCCCUCCAUAAAGAAAUAUAAAAAUGUUUAGAUCACUA